AUGGUGAAAGAACGUGAGUUGUCGUAUCCGAUGAUGGUGUGGCUCGGACGAAGGAGGAUGAUGGUGUUGUUGUUGGAUCAGGAUUGGACGACACUAAAAGUUCCACAGUGGUGGGCUGUGAUGUGUAAUUAUUUGUCAGCACGGAGGAACGCCGAUGUGUCCGACAAAUCGAGAUUGCAACCUUUGCAUUUGUUGGGGUGGCUGUCGGAGUCACAUGUGUGGUGUGGUGAGUGUUUAGCCCAUAGCAUGCUAUGA